UACACGGCCCGGUCCGGCCCGAAGACCCGGCCCGGGCCCGAAGGAUUUUGGAUGGCAAAGGGUCUGACCCGAAGUGACCCGGGGAGGACCCGGGGAAAAACAAUGAAACCAAGAAAGGAUAUGAAGCCGGGACCGGGCCAUGGCUCGGGUCACCCGGACCCGGCCCGGUGGCCCGGCCAUAUAUACAAUAAUACAAAACACACACAUUACAGAUUUGAAAUUAGGGAAAGGGGGCUAGGGCACAUUCAGAUUUCAGUCACUCCAUUCUAUUUUCCAUUCACUGCCUCCCUCAGAGCUCAGCGACUGAGGCUCACUCCCACACCCCCAGUUCCCAGUCCCCACUCCCCACUCCGGCACCGGCAGUCCCCACUCCCCACGGCACAAGCUGAUCUGGUAACCCCUGACCUCAUCUUCUCUCCACACGGGCCAUUCCUAGUCUCGCAGCACGCAGCCACGCACCAGGCAGUCGCCCACUCCUCUCGUUCUCGUCUCUUCUCAACCUUCCUUGUUCCACCCCAGUUACCGGCGAAGGUCUUCGUUCGACUGACGACGGUGACGACCUAUGGUGCUGCCCUGCUUCUCGGUGAUGUGAAGUUCUUCUCUAAUACUGCCCCGCCGUUGCUCUGCUCUGCUAGUCCUGCUCCUUCUGCUCCGCUCUCUUCUCCGGUCUUCUUCUCAGGUCUUCUUCUCAGCACGUGACGUCUUAGGUAUUCCGGUCUCAACCGUUGCUUCUGAAUCAUGCUUUAGCACUGGUGGACGUGUGCUUGAUGUCUUCCGCAGCUCUUUGUCACCAUUAAUGGCCGAAGCUUUGAUAUGCACUCAAAGUUGGUUGUGCCCUUCGAAACAACAAGUUGGAGAUCAAGAGUUUGAUCAAUUUGAUAGUAGUCAGAAGAUUGUUGAAGGUUUUACUAAUGCAUCCACAUCACAAGGAACAAGUUGACAACAUUAAUAGCAAUUGAUGGAUGACUAUUCUUCUGUGGUUAAUGUUGUGUUAUAAAGACUAUGAGUUAAAGUUCUAUGUUUAGGAAGAACAAGACUUGUGUGUAAUGUUUUGUGUUAUUUGUUUGUGACUUAA